rnacentral:pre_miRNA from 1 species
ACUUAUGGAUGAGCAAAGAAAGUGAUUUCUUGAGAUAGAAUCUACUCUUGGUGAAGAUGGUCUGAAGA